CGAUUUUGCCUUGAACGUAAGUGGGUUCCUGUGUUGCAUACCUAAUCGAUGGCAUUGUCUUGUUUGAACAAAGUUGCCUUUCGUUAAGCAUCGCUUGCGGUGCCAACGAACCUUGAAGCUGUCUUUGUGGUCCAUGUUCUCGCUGCGGAUGUGUCGAUGGCAUGGCCCUAUAAAGUGUUGCUUGGUCUCUUGGAUAUGGAACCUGGCGUGGGCACAUGGUCAGUCAUGAUCAUGUAUUUUGCCCUACAUGAGCGUUUUGCUUCUCUAGACGACUGUCUAUCUUGCAUUGACUUGUUGGUGCAGGGUCGGCUAAGUCGAAGAGGAAUGCUACCUGGUUGAUCCUGCCAGUAGUCAUAUGCCUUUGUCAAAGCUACCUGGUUGCUCCUGCCUGUAGUCCUCUCCUUGUCUAAGCUUUGCGGU
rnacentral:misc_RNA from 1 species